rnacentral:rRNA from 1 species
UACGGGGGGGGCGAGCGUUGUUCGGAAUUACUGGGCGUAAAGGGCUCGUAGGCGGCCAACUAAGUCAGACGUGAAAUCCCUCGGCUUAACCGGGGAACUGCGUCUGAUACUGGAUGGCUAGAGGUUGGGAGAGGGAUGCGGAAUUCCAGGUGUAGCGGUGAAAUGCGUAGAUAUCUGGAGGAACACCGGUGGCGAAGGCGGCAUCCUGGACCAGCACUGACACUGAGGCGCGAAAGCUAGGGGAGCAAACGGG